rnacentral:rRNA from 1 species
AUGGCCAGUUGCAACAGUGAAGAGGCCAUAUGGAUGAUCAUUUAUAAAUUUGAUCAAUCAUCAUGCAAUGUCAUUGAGGUGCAGCCACCCGCUUCCCCACGCACAACGGGACGUGACGUCAUCCAUCUGCAGCCGUCCUCCUCUCCUAGCAGCUGGCAGCCCCGCCGGGCUGCUCCCUCGCCGACCGUGGAGCCUGAGCCGGUCACACCCGUCCACAUCCCGAUGUCAAGCCCGCCUGGGAGCCAGGCAGCGUCCGAUGUGCACUCCCCGCUGUUUGUGGCUCGUCAGCCACCCCUGCUUCCUGCACCUAGCUCCACGCCUCCAAGACGGCCCGCGGCUCGACGGAAGACGCUGGCAGGCGUUUCGGGCUUCAACCUGAGCAGGCGCAGUCCGCGUCUUCAGACCAAGAAGAGGGCGAUGCCGGUUGCACAGAUGGCAGAGAGGCUGCUCUGCCAACGCAUGGGCAUCAUCGACGAGGGCCAGCAGGUUACCGAAGAGGCCAUCGGCAAGUUCGUCGCCAUGUUCCAGGGGAGGCUGCCGGACAUCACAAUUUCUGCUCUUAGAGCCCUGUUCGACCUUGACUGCGACCUGGCGCAGGCAGUCGAAGAUGCGCUUGUGGAGCAUGGUGGUGAAGCUGGACCGGACCUGCAGCGGCCUGGAGAGGAGGUCGCCGAGGAGGCGGCAGUGUUCGCCUGUUUGCUGCUGGUCCUGGUGAUCGCUGCUACCUGCCCUGGCGAGGCUUACGUACAUGUUUGUUUGCUGUUGUCAAGUAAUUCUGCUCUAGUGACGCUUCCAUGUGUUCCUGAUGCUAGUUCUGCCAAGCUUGACCAUGUUGUAAUCUGCUAUCUGCUGUCAAGUAAUUCUGCUCUAGUGACGCUCCCACGUAUUCAUGAUGCUAGUUCUGUCAAGGAGACCAAGCUCCAGAAUGUCGACCCGUUCAUUGCUUCUUUUCUAGGGGGACAUCGGUUAAAGAGUUUUGCUCAACGCCCAUCUGUUGGCACUCGAGGCGGAAUCCUUCUUCUCUGGGACGAACAUUUUGUCAAAAUCCAAGAUGUAAACAUUGGUGCUUUCUUCCUCUCAGCCAAAGUCUCCCUAUCCUCGUCGGGUGAAUCCUUCAAGCUCACAACCGUGUACGGCCCGACGAGAAGCAACCUUAAAGAUGGCUUCUUCCAAGAAUUGCCCGAUCCUCUUGUCAUCUCCUCCCAAAUCCCUAGUUCCAAACUAGUCGUCGCCGGCCGCCUCGUGCCUCGCCAUUGCCAGCCGCUAUGGUCUCCAUUCUCACCAUGUCCUCCUCAAGCUCGAUCCAGUCAGGCCUCCGUGGCAGGGCAAUUGAAUUGCCGAUCAUCAUUUUCCCUUGACUAUGGCAAGCCGGUGAAGUUCUACAUCUCCACCACUGACGACCAGGACGGCUGGGUGUUUUACAAUUGCACCAAACACGGUUUUCCAGUUGCUCACUGGUUCCUUGUUGGUAAUGCUAGGAUUGAUACAGUUCGUGCAGCAGAGGGCAAGAAGGAAGAUCUUCAGCGUGCAAUAGAUGAAAGGGGUGGAAUGCAGCUAGUAGAGGCAAUGGAGCUCCAGUUAGAGCAACGGGCAGAAUCUAGCAAAGCCAUUCUUCUUGGAGGUGGUGCAUGUUAUAACCUGGGUGAUUUGGUGCAGAAGAAAUGA